rnacentral:lncRNA from 1 species
AACAUGAUGACACUAUAUGCACCACUUAUUCCGCUCGGGUUACUUGGUAACCGUCACAUGCAUCACUUACCAACCUCGGACAUCACACGAUCAUCUCAGGAUCAAAUCAAGCUUGGUAUAAACAAUACCGUAGCGAUUAGUAAAUGACCACAAGGAGCUUGAUCUUUACCCUCGACCUCGCACAACAUCACGAAUAUACACAACUUGGUAUCCUCGAUACCACGGUGAUCUUUACGGCGAUCACAACCACAACCAAUAGUUGGCCCAUGAUCCUUACGGCGAUCACAACCACGACCAAUACUUGGCCCGUGAUCCUUACGACAAUCACAACGACGACCAAUACUUGGCCCAUGAUCCUUACGGCGAUCACAACCAUGAGUUGUCAUUAAUCAAGUUAUUCUUAUUACUGUUGACUCACGGUGUGACCUACUUUCGAACUGGGCCCUUAUCCGCGGGCGCGGUUAUCGAUAGAUUUAAUAUACACUCUACAGAGGUUAGUACACUGUACCCACACUACAGAACCCAUGGCCUCGCACUCCCAUUUUGGUGGACCAACGGUGUUCCGACAAAACCGUCCUACUGCCAUGACACUCUCCCGGCCACUCCGACUCACUCCCCACUAGGCUAAGUCAUUGGUGGCCCCGUAUCUACCUCAAGACACAACGACCACCGUCGUGGCCCGUCCCACAUGAGGACACGAAUCCAAAAAAACUCUACAACAGGCACACAAGGUUAUGCCUGCUUACCGGGCCAGGGUACAACACGCCCAUAACCUUCCCUUGUUGGAGGCAUCAGCGAGAGGCACGACAAUAGACCCAGUUAGGGCCGUCCCAUACUGACAAGCAUGGUUGCACUAGCCAGCUCAAUUCAGCGGCACCAUGACUCAACCAACAGUUGUUCAAGUUCAAUUUAAUCUGGUUAACUUGAAUGCAAAUAUGUUGAGCCAUGAUAAAAUGCAUGAACAUGCUAUCAACAUAAUCAUGAGGGUAUCACAUAUCUAUCCACCAUAUCAACAAUAAAUCUUAUCCACUGAGCAUGGCAUACUGACUAGCAUGACCAUCACCAACAUCAACAUGUACUACUAGCAAGCAUAAACAUAUGAAAGGAAAUACUAGCAGGUAGAACAUGAUAACAGAGUACAAGACAACAUAGCACAAAAGUGAACAUGCAAAUCUAAACAUCACCGAAACAAUGAUAACCAUCUUUUCAACAAGGAAACAUUAAAUAAAGAUUCAAGUUUAAAACAAUGGCUACUGCAAGACUAUCAUGCAAGUGGGUAUUGUGGCUUGCCUUGGGAUGAAGAAGGCACCGGGGAGAAGUGCGGUGAAGCCGCAGAAAGAUUUGCCGAAAACAGUUCUCUCUCGGAGGGGCUGUUUACGUGCAAGGGCAAAAUGGUCAUUUUCAGAAUGCCAAAACAUAAUAAAACUGACACCAACAGAAAGGGCUCGACGAGACGAAGAAGUGGGCUAUGGAUUCACCUCUUUCGGAUUUACGGUUGCAGAGAUAUAAGGUGAUGAAGAUCAGGGACAUAUAUGUGAAAAAAAUUCAGCAAACAGGCCCCUGAGUGGAUAAGGCGGAGGCGUAAACCGAGAAAUACGCCUUCGGAGGAUGAAAACGUACUUGCCCAAUUACGUCUCCACUUAGCCACGUUAGCGGACCGGGUCAACGCGGGGCUGGCUCCUAGCUCACUGACGCAUGGGGUCAAGAUGGGAGGCGGGGCCUGCCUGGCCAGCUGGAGGGGGCACGGGCGCUCGUCCCCUUCAUCCCGCUCGCCCUGUUCCUCGCGUGAAAUAGAGGCAGAGCAGGGGAGGGACAACGAGGGGGCCGGCCUGCUCCAGCCGUCUCCGGCCCGAACGAGGGCACAAGCUGGACCGCAGCGGCCAACCGCACCCAUCCAUAGGGAGAACGGCCGUCGGGGAGGAACAGGGAGGAGGGGAGGGGAGGUGCCAUGGGAGAGGUAGAGAGCUUCAUGUGAAGGGGUUCCACGGUGAUGCGGCCACUCCGGCGAGGGGGCAAGGUGGUGGGGCGGCUGAGUAGGACGAGGGGAGUGCGGUGGACGUGGAGGAUAGGCUGGGGAGGCCUAUGGUGGCCAGACCCAAGCCGAGGCCGAGGCGGCCAUGGAGGGUGACGGCAAACAACGGCGAGAUGCGGUGAUUCCAGAGGUAAAAUGAGGAGGGGGAGGGAUCUUUGAGCUGCGGAGGAGGUCGUACGUCCCUUAUAUAGGCGCGGGGAAGGCUCUGGAUCAUCACAAACGGGCUUGAGCAGUGCUCUAAUGGAGGACAGAGGCAGGGCAUGGCACGGGCAUUGGCUUUGCGGCUCAUUUAUGGCGAACCACGACUAGCCAUCGACGCAGGCCAAUGAAGGGAAUCACGGGGGAACUCCAGGACAUGGUUGGACAUCGAGACGAGGAGGGAGCUGACGAGAACAGGGACAAGAAAAAACCAGAGCGCCCAAUCUGCAUGACGCAAGCGUGAUCACCACGUACACUAGUGCAUAUAGCUCGUUUUGGCCAGGAAGACCAAGUCCAGUGGAUUGACCCUAGUGACCUUAGUAUAACUAAGGAAAUAACUCAAUCUAGGGGCAAAGAAGAGAUUUUCACUUAGCUCCAAAGUAAACCAGCAACCAAGUGUUUGUGCUGUCCAGUGGGGACACCAGCUAGGUAACUCAGUAAAAACUUUGUCUGGUGAUCAUCGUACACUAAGGUGACUGCAAUAACAAGAAAUGAGCUUAAUAAGAGGAGUUUAAAGGGUGGUUGCUGUAGAAAGUGCCAUAAUGGCCAGAAAUGGGAAUUUGGAUGAUGCACUCACAUAGUUGCAUCAAUUGAGAUGAAAAUGGUUAUGGCCCAAUUAUUUGAAGAUAUUAAUAUGCCCAAGGAGUUUCAUGCCAUUUGGAUGAACCAACAUAGCACUUGCUUCAUAAAUAUUUAUUCUAACCAGAAACUUGGAAAAAUUCCACAGGGCAAAUGGUCAAAGGGAUUGAGCCACAACUUGGUGUAGGGAGGUUAUAUGGAUACUAUAAGGCCUAGAAACAUUUACAGCCAUAAUGGAGCAAGAAAAAAUAUACUUGCUUCACAAACUGAAAUUUUGAACAGAAACUAAGGAUUGAAGCUGUGCUCACAUGGAGGCAUGACAUGAGUUCAAAUUUGGUGGAGGGCUAUGAUAUGAUUAUAUGAAGCAUCCUGAAAAAUUGAAACUCAUUUGGAUGUGCCUAGCUUGUACCUCCUACACCAAGUUUCUUUCUGGACAGAAACUUUGGAAAAUCAUAAUUAAAUAAUUACUAGGCAAAUGAGGUUGCAUUUUGGCAUGUAGGAAUCAUAUGGACAUGAAAAGAUGUCCAAGGAGUUUGAGGUCAAUUGGGAAAAUGAAAAUGGCACUUGCUUCACAAUGUGCCAUUUAAGGCAGAAUAGGAAAUGAAUUAUUGGAGGAUUAAUUUUGAAGAGGGCAAUGAAACGUUUUGCCAUAUUUGAUCACGAUAUGACCCAAAAAUUUAUGAGAAUUAUUUGCGAAUUUUAGGAGUGAGGUAAAUAUAGGUUGCUUCACAACCUAGGGCAAUUUGAGUUAUUCCUUUAAUAAAAAAGGAAUAUUCUCAAUAAAAAGAAUAUUGGGAUUUGGGCUAGGAUGAAAAUGACAGGGUCUAGGGAAGGAUUUGGAUAUGACAAGCCACUCUGGAAGCAAAGAAGAGGUCAUCUUCUUUAGUUUCCAGACCAUAAAGCCACGGAAAAAGAAAACUCACGCAAAAACCUUGGAAAAACAAAAGAAAAAGAAUGGGCCAAAAAUCAGGCUAUCACAAACCUUACCCCCUUAAAGAAAUCUCGUCCUCGAGAUUUGGUUGCUCAGGGAACUAGUAUGAAUAUUCUGACUUAAGGAAACCGUUUCCAACUAGGGUAUCCUUUUUCCUUUAUUGUUGUUCCCACUAAAUUUUUAUCUGACUGGCCCUGGGUGGUUUGCUUUACUGUAUCCACAUUCUGACAUAUCUUACUUUGCUUGUACAUGCUUAUAUGGGCUCCAAUUUCUUUUUAGAUCUGCUGACUAGCUGAGUGUGAUUUGAUUAUCAUGACUGAAAUAUAUGUCCGUCUCACAAAUCCAAAAGUGAUUUCCGCUGGGUGUGCCACCCGGCACUGACAACCUUUCAUGUAAUGAUGAUCACAAUUUUCUGAUGAAAACUCAAGCUCUGACUCAUUGCAUUGGGUUUCUCCUCUAGAUGCAGGUCCUUUGGGUUCCAAACAGUGAGUUAAAACAUAACAGUUUCCUAGCAGAUUCUGACUCAUCGCAGAAGUUUCUGAAUCAUCUUAACUGGUUCCACUGUCGUGAGUAUCGGAUCCGUACCAAAUAUUUGAUUGUCUCUUGUCGCGGCCAGCAUAAAGGGUUUGCCCUGUAUGAUAAUAUCUACAGACUUGACUGACGGUGGUUCUGACAGAAAAAAAAUUGUUCAUGACAGGCUAUCCAUGAUGAUUCAUAUAAGUGAGGAUUCAGGCUUCCAGACUAUUAUUCCUCAUGCCGAUUACUCAUGUUGUAGGCAUAUCCAUGUGGAUCAAUACUGACUUAGACUGUCCGGGGGAUCUGCACCAUGGGUGUCAUGUACAAUUUUCAUACCUGCCUCACUGGUCUUGCUCCUUCAUUAUUGUUUUCUUGGUCUGGAUCUUUGGCUGAAAGAGCUGGUCCAUAUUGCUUCUUCGUAUGACCAUAGGUACUAUUGGUGCAAUUUUUCGGCAAUUGUAGUUUAUCCUCAUUUUUCUAAUAGGGUAACUCAUUAAAUGGCAGGUUCAACACCUCUCAAGUUCUGAUCGUUGGGAAAUGAUCAUCCGAAACCCUUGCAAGAAAUCUGCAAAUAAGUCAGUAGCCACCAGAACGGUCUUUACAACUCAGAUCUGGGACAUUACUGAAAUAACUCAACCACGGCUCAGGACGGACAAAAAGCAGCUGAGAGCAUGAGACCGGGUCGAUAAGAAGAAGGUGGCAGCUCCCUAAAAUAGCCAAAAACAGCUAUAGGGCUACUGUCACAAAAAGAAACUCAACAGCUCUACGAGAUGGCCGAAAAGCAGCUCAAACUCAUGACAGUCGUUGAAGAGAGAAACAAAAAUUGGCAUCCACCCCGGAUAGCUAGAAACAGCUCAGAUCACAGGCGUGGUGUCGUUAUUGGAGAAAAAGGGGACAAGGGCUCAUCAGGAUCAUUUCCCAGGUUCACGGGUACUUGUAUUGAGCUCGUUGAUGUCGUCAAUCCUCAUAAUCAUUUGUCACACUAUGGUGUAUUCUGGCUUUAUUCUCGUAACCAUCCUCACGUGGUUGUCAGAUCCUCAUCCGAGUAACUUGUAAGAUCUUGAUGGUAUGCUCAUUGCAUAUAUAUAUAUACAUAUAUAUAUGAGGACCUGAUUCUGAGACAGACGUGUAUUCUGACUGAUUCUUGAUUCUGACCAAAAUGUUGUGGAUCUCAUUCUUGGGAUUCACUGCCAUAUUCUGUCAAUUCACAGUGUACUACCUUGUACCAAUGUCUUACUGAGGAAGAUUGGUGAGGUUAUGCUCGAAACUUUCAUCGGACAGCUUGCUGAAGAAGACUGGGUAUCGUGCUUCAGAAGCUUACCCCCUUAAAAACUUUGCUGGGGAAAGACUCAAUACCUUAUGCCGGAAACUUUUGCGGUUGCUUACUGAGGAAGGCAGAGUACCUUGCGCGAGAAGUCAUCCAUGUAUCGUACUGAGGAAGAUAGAUGAAUCUUGCCUCGGAAGCCUUUCUGGUAUCUUGCGAGGGAAGAUUGGGGUGCUUACAUCAGAAGCUUCUUAUUGUGAUAUGUGAACCGAUUUCCACAUAUAUAACCAUCUUAAUAUUUUUUGGUAUUGAUUUCUUGUAUGAAACGGGGUUUUGCAGGACUAUCCUCCUUUCUGAGUACAUGCCAUAUUUUUGCUUGCUUCUGGGCAUAUAAUGUUUAAAAAUCAUUCUUAACAACGAAUCAAACUUGUAUUUGAGCCAAACCUUUGACUGAUAAUAUUCCGUCAACCUUGCACACAAUUUACCUUCUUGCUGAUUUGAUCAUUUCUGCUAUGAGGAGUACACGCUGAGGGAGACUUGACACUCAGUAACAUGAUCAGAUAAUCCCCAAUCUGAAUGCAGUCGGCUGAGAAUUCCAUACUGUUGCGAGGAGUGCACGGUAAUGCAAACUUUAUACUGACAUUCCAUCCAGGAUUUCUUUUGUAUUUAGACGAGGUAUUUCCAAUUUCACUGUAGUGUGCUGACGAUUCCAUUCUGUUUAGCUGAGUUUCCAAAUAUAUGCAUUUCUUGCUGACUCUUCGGGUCCGGUGUCGGCUGACAAGCAACUUUAAUAGGGGAAAAAUUUGUAACACUGAAGGCCCAAAGAAAGGAGGAACAGAAAAGACUAAAACAAAAGCACACAAGCAUACUACUAAUAUAAUUAAUCAAGCAAUCAUCACAUAUUACUACUACUCACACAAUAAUAUGCAUGCACCUAAGCACACAAAUCUCGCGGAAACUCCGGUAUUGCGGUCUAAUAUGUUGUGGCGGUGUGCACGAAAAAUAUAUCUAUGUGUGGAAAGGAGUUGGCAUAAUCGAAGCUACACCAAGCACUGGCUGAAUAAUGGCUGGAUCUGGAUGGAUACACAUGUGAGGAUGGACUUAACGAUCAAGUAGCGAGACACAAAAGUCACGACUACUUCAUCAUCAAGCGUACUAAGGGAAUCGUACCCGUCCGAAGAAUGAAAUGACAAGGCAAGAUAACAGUGGAAGACUGGGUCUAAUGGCAUUGCCCUUUUCUGAUAACAAAGGUCAGGAAGGGUUGCCAAAAGAACGAGAUGGUGGGCAUUCAUGAUGAUGUGGUCACAUCACACUGAAGAGCAGGCAUGAUAAGAAGGAGGGCGUAGGUAGUGGAUCAGAACCGAUACCACCUACACUCACAAGAUUAACUGUUAGCGACUAAAUAAUAAUCUAUAUGCAUGCGAUCCGACAAACAGAUGCAGCAAUCAAGUGCUACAAACCAACUGGGGUCUAUACUAUCAAUUUUUAACGUUCGCGCGGUCUAGGGCGUCCUAUAGCCAGACCUGCUCUGAUACCAAGCCUGUGGCACCCCGGCACAGAGAAAAUCGGAACGCCCCGUAUUCCAGCCCAGAGAUCAAGGAGAAGUCUUCUGGAAUACGACACUGCUUAGCAUAGAACAAACCAGCUCUUUAUUACAAUCUAUUUGGGUACAAGGGUUACAUCGGCAUGGUGACACUACGCCUGCCACUGUUGCUCUAUGCAAGCAGCAGAACAACACGAUGCAGCGGAAGAACUCUAGUAGCGGAACAACGACGACGGUGGUGAACUCCACUCCACAGGGACUCUGGCUGGAACGCUUAUCCUAGAUCGCACGAACGGAAACCACGACAAGCAAGCAAUCAAAUCUGGCAUGACCUGCAAACUGGCAUGACACGCCAGGUUAGUACAUUGAAUGUACUUGCAAUCUCAUAAUAACCAAAAGCAUUCAAGAUAGACAACAUCAUGGCAAUUACAGGUUAAACAGGAAUUAUCAUGAGAUCAUCAGAAUAACAAUAUAACAUUAACAUGAUACAGCUAACACAACAUGAACAUAUUAAUCCAACAAAACUAGCAUGCAUCAUGAUGACACUAUAUGCACCACUUAUUCUGCUCGGGUUACUUGGUAACCGUCACAUGCAUCACUUACCAACCUCGGACAUCACACGAUCAUCUCAGGAUCAAAUCAAGCUUGGUAUAAACAAUACCGUAGCGAUCAGUAAAUGACCACAAGGAGCUUGAUCUUUACCCUCGACUCUCGCACAACAUCACGAAUAUACACAACUUGGUAUCCUCGAUACCACGGUGAUCUUUACGGCGAUCACAACCACGACCA